AUCACCUGGGGAUUUUGCUAAAAUGCAGAUUCUGAGUCAGUGGGUCAGGGACUCUGUAUUUCUAACAAGCACCCAGGUGAUGGUGA
rnacentral:pre_miRNA from 1 species